rnacentral:misc_RNA from 1 species
UUUGACACCUUUUGCCUCACACCUUUAGCAGCUUCAUCAGCCUCUGAGAUGAUACUUGGACUCGUCUGAGAAUUCUCCAAAACGCCAACUUCUUUAUUAAGAUUCUCAGCUCCAACAUCUCUUAACUGAAUGUUUUCAGAAUUGACUUCAUCCUUCGGUAAUAAAUGAUCCAAUAAGCCCUGAUUGGAUCGCAGACUGGACCAUCUUCUGUCUAAAUUUGGUGUAAAAUCUUUUGCACUCUGUUGAAUAGAAGUAGAAACAAUGUCACCUCCGAAACAUGAUCCUCCAAGAUCUUUGCCAUGAUCAUCGUCCAAGGACUCUGUCAAGACAUCUUCAUAAUGUUCUUGGCUCUUAGAACUUUCAAUCGGUUGAUUGCAAACUUCAGCUUCUAAUGGUGAUUUUAUAGAUUCCUCUAUGACUCUGUUAGAGCUGGAACAGAAUGCAGAGGCCCUACAGCCAGGAGAGACUACACUCCGCUCUCCUAAACCAUCGCUUUCUUUUCUUUCAAUGAACAUGUGGGAGGAGCUCCUCACUGAAGAUAUGGAACUGUCAUUGAUUAAUGUUUUCCUGGUUGAUGUCUCAGUAAAUGCCUGACCUUGUUCAGCAGCAUUUGCAGACAUGGCUUCCAGAGCACGAUGAAGACGUUUGGAUGGAGGUAAAGCAGCUUCACCAUCUGCUGGGCAGCCAAAAGACUGAUGCUCCUUGGCAAUUGAAAGCUGAGGCCUAUUCCCUGGAAUUUGAGCACAGUCCUUUUGAGGUGACACAAUAUCUAAAGCUCCCUUUACUGAAAACAAGCCUUUAUCAGCAGAACGAUCAUCAUUGAAAUUAGCAGGUGGGCCAAUCAGCUCCAACAUGGUGACCACAACUUCGUUAGAGGUUCUUUCUUCAAUUUGACAUAUGCCACUUUGUGCCUCAGUCAAACUGACUGCAACCUCAUUACAAGUCUUUUCUUCCUCAAGAGAAAAGCUGUUGUGGUCCUCCAAUGAAGAUAAUUUGCCCAUUCUAACUCUAGCUCGUUUCACUAGUGGCAAAUGCUCAUCUCCAUCUUCUUUAUUAUGCCUCUCACUCAAGUUUUCACAAGCCCACUGUGAAUUUUGGCUGCUAUUAUGCACUCCAGCGUCCAAAUCUGCCUCUGUUUCCAAUCUGGCAGGUGGCUCAGCUGCUUCAUUAAUCACUCGCUUUCUGUUUGGUUUCCUUUUCUUCUUUAUAAUCACGGCCUUUAUUUGAAAAUCAAGCCCUUUGCUCAACUCAACAUCUUCCUCCAAACAAUCAAAAACAGUUUGAGAGUGCUCAGGUUUACAAGCACAGUCUAUAGUGCUGCCUUCAUUCAGACUCAGAGAAUCAGAAUCAACUGUUAUAAUUUCAGAGACAUUAUCUUCAACACUUCCAUUUGAAAUAAAAGUAGAUGAAUCCACAUCAUCCCAUUCAGAGGCAUCUGGUGACUUUCUAACUCGCUUGUUCCUUCGUAAGGACCUGUUCAGGAUUACUUCAGUUGAUGCAUCCCCCGCACUCUUGUUACCAUCAUUAGACAGCAUCAUGAAGUUCUGGAAUCUGGAGGAUUCCAACCUUGACAAGCUUGUAGGCCUUUCAACUGAUGGAUCCUUUUUCUGUGUACCGCAUUUUCUAGACCGUAAGUUGCCAGAUCUUCUUCUUGAAGUAUAAGUAGUUAUAACAGGUUUUGCUGUGACCACCACAUUAUCAGUGGGUUGCUCCAAUGAGGCCUCUUUAUCAUGCAAAGAACCAACUUUUGCUACAUCUGGUGCAACACUGCUUGUGAGGUUGGGAUCAUUUCUAACAACAGUUGCUUCAGAAGUUUCAAUCUCAUCCUUCAAUUCAAAAUGAGCUGACAACUCCAUUGAAUUCCCACCAUUUGCAAGAGCAACUUCAUCAGAAUUGAGAUCAUCAACUUGGUGUGGUUUCUUUGACUUCUCAUAACUGUCUAUAAUCUCCUGCACCGCACGAACAAAAUCUGCACCCUUUCCUUGACGUUUGAUCAAAAGAGAUUGUUUUUUCUCUUCAGUAAAUGCUUCAACAUCAGCAGGGUUGCAGAAAGCUAUUUGCUGUGUUCCAAAGAAGUAGACAAGUACUUUCUUCCAAUCAGCUGGAUAGCCCCACUUCUCAGGCUCACUUACCGUGGCAGGCCAAGCAGGAAAGCCUUUGACUUUGGCGAGGACAAGAUCGCCCACCUUCCAUUGGCGGCGGGCAGCAGCAGCGGCAGCAGCUUUGCCGGCGCCCCUUCUGCGACUCGGCGCCAUCUAAGAAGCAGCGGGGCUGGAAUCAAAUUCUGGCACGCGAUUCCAACAGAAGCAAAGACUCAAAUAGACUAAUGAGCCAAAAUCGCCCGCAAAAUGGAGCAGUCCGGCACAGUCUAGGGUUCUGAAGACGCGAUUUAGGCAAGCAAUUAGCAGGCAUUGAAACGCAUAAACCACACAGAGAGAGUGAGCAGUGAAGCAGUAGAAACCCUAAUUCGCCGAGAAAGAGAAAAAAAAGAGACGAAAGAGUUUGAAGUCCAAGUGGGGAGUUUUGUUUGUGUUUUGUGGAAGAGAGAAUGAUACGAGGAGGCUAAAGUGCGCAGAGAGAGUGCAGGUUAAAAAUUGGAAGAGGGCUAACGUGAUCGAAG